rnacentral:rRNA from 1 species
GACGAACGCUGGCGGCGUGCCUAAUAUAUGCAAGUUGAGCGAUGAAGAUUGGUGCUUGCACCAAUUUGAAGAGCAGCGAACGGGUGAGUAACGCGUGGGGAAUCUGCCUUUGAGCGGGGGACAACAUUUGGAAACGAAUGCUAAUACCGCAUAACAACUUUAAACAUAAGUUUUAAGUUUGAAAGAUGCAAUUGCAUCACUCAAAGAUGAUCCCGCGUUGUAUUAGCUAGUUGGUGAGGUAAAGGCUCACCAAGGCGAUGAUACAUAGCCGACCUGAGAGGGUGAGCGGCCACAUUGAGACUGAGACACGGCCCAAACUCCUACGGGAGGCAGCAGUAGGGAAUCUUCGGCAAUGGACGAGAGUCUGACCGAGCAACGCCGCGUGAGUGAAGAAGGUUUUCGGAUCGUAAAACUCUGUUGGUAGAGAAGAACGUUGGUGAGAGUGGAAAGCUCAUCAAGUGACGGUAACUACCCAGAAAGGGACGGCUAACUACGUG